GGCGGCAGGCCUAACACAUGCAAGUCGAGCGGAAACGAGUUAUCUGAACCUUCGGGGAACGAUAACGGCGUCGAGCGGCGGACGGGUGAGUAAUGCCUAGGAAAUUGCCUUGAUGUGGGGGAUAACCAUUGGAAACGAUGGCUAAUACCGCAUGAUGCCUACGGGCCAAAGAGGGGGACCUUCGGGCCUCUCGCGUCAAGAUAUGCCUAGGUGGGAUUAGCUAGUUGGUGAGGUAAUGGCUCACCAAGGCGACGAUCCCUAGCUGGUCUGAGAGGAUGAUCAGCCACACUGGAACUGAGACACGGUCCAGACUCCUACGGGAGGCAGCAGUGGGGAAUAUUGCACAAUGGGCGCAAGCCUGAUGCAGCCAUGCCGCGUGUAUGAAGAAGGCCUUCGGGUUGUAAAGUACUUUCAGCAGUGAGGAAGGGGGUGUCGUUAAUAGCGGCAUCUCUUGACGUUAGCUGCAGAAGAAGCACCGGCUAACUCCGUGCCAGCAGCCGCGGUAAUACGGAGGGUGCGAGCGUUAAUCGGAAUUACUGGGCGUAAAGCGCAUGCAGGUGGUUUGUUAAGUCAGAUGUGAAAGCCCGGGGCUCAACCUCGGAACUGCAUUUGAAACUGGCAAACUAGAGUACUGUAGAGGGGGUAGAAUUUCAGGUGUAG
rnacentral:rRNA from 1 species